ensembl:lncRNA
GAAAUAACGUACGUUUGCUGUUCGGUGCUGCGGGGUCCCGCUUCCCCACUUUGCUCCUUGGCUUUCCUGGGGGAAAGCUGUAUCCCCUCGCUUGGAAAUGCAGCUCUACCUCCCCAGGCAUUCAGCCACAAAAGCAGACAUCUGCUUCCCCCCAGUGCACGGCUAUCACCUGCCCGGCCAGCACAGACCUACCACGCUUCAAAAACUACACUGCUCUGGUGGUAGAUAUCAUCGGCUGGAACUGAAACUCGAAUGUUAAAUGCCAGAAUAUGAGAAGUUGCCACCUGAGAGCAUGGCUAACACAGAGCAGUGCAGGAAGCCCGUGUCUGAGCAGAGGGCCGCAGUGUGCCCGGCUUCACCAGAAGGUGAUGUGAGAAUAGAUGAGAAAUACAAACAUUGACUCACUGCAUCGUACAAGGCACGGCUCCGAGGGGUCAGAGCAUCCCCUCUCAUCUCCAAGCCAUAACUUAAGAAACAAAACAUAUACAUCAAGGCCAUGGAAACAAACCUAAAAUUGCUUUAAGGACUGGGAGUUUCAGCUUGUUACGUGUGGGCUGAUCCGUGGUUCCUACUUUCAGAUCCAAGAACCUGCUAUAGGCCCAAAGGAAAGGGCCUUUGGUCUGGCCCAGUCCUGCAGUCAGACACUGAAAUUACCUGCUCAGAUGGCUGCCUUAAGGGGGUAAAGCUGCAUCAUCUGGGGAAUGUGAAGCUCCACCCAGCUAAGGAAUACUCUACAACCAGGACAGCUUUUUGCUGGCAUUAAGGGGAAACGUAUUAUACCUGCAUGGCUGGGGGGUCGUUAGGGGGUGCUUUGGCACGUGAUAAUCCAGAAAAAAAAAAAGAAAAAAGCACUUUGCAGAGUUGUUUUCAACAAAGCAAGGCCAUGUAGCCUCAAGACUAGCAGGAGCAGAGAUAGUUGUGCAAACAGAAGGGUACCUGCUGCUUGUUUUAAAGCAGUCCUGGAUACGGGGUUUAUUCCUGCGAGUCUUUCACUGCGCCGCGCUCCCACUGAACUAAGUGUUGUUUCAUUACAAAGAAACAGCAAGAUCUGUUUUAAUUAUAAAACACCGAUUGUAAAAAGCUAGAUUUAAGAAAUGUUGGCACGGAGCUAUCACUGAAUAUGACUAUAAAGCAAAAAAAAAAAAAUUAAUUUGUACUUCAAAAAAAAUAACUACAACCUUGCUAAAAUUUCUGCAGUUUGAAUGCAAGGAGCCCAGGCUGCUCCAAUUAAAUCCAUAAACAAAGCGGGGUUGGGAGAAGAAAGCCAUGAUCCACCUUACAGUGCUGCUGUGUGCAGUUAAAGGGCAUCUUGCUGCUGUGACAGCAUGUGGUCCCCAAGUCCAACCCCAACCCACCCCACCGUGCCCACAUCCCUCAGUGCCACAUCCCCACAGCUCUGAACACCUCCAUGGACGGUGACCCCCCCACCCCUGGGCAGCACCACUCCUUCUGAGAAGAAAUUUUUCCUAAUGCCCAACCUGAACCUCCCCUGGAGCAACUUCAGGCAUUCCCUCUCAUCUCAUCUGUGAAAAAAAUCACAAGCUGUAAAUAAAACCAAGGAUACUCACAUUCAUCAGCCCCACUCGUACCCAGGAUGAUUUUCAAAGACUUUCCCAGCUAUCCGUUGUCAUUGCUGCUUUUCUCUAUGCAAAAUCCUCCUGCUGGCCACAAAGGGAAAAGGUGCGACUGGACAAAUCCCUUCCCUUUGCAAAGACCCGCUGCACUUCUGGCCCAAUGAUGAACACUUUAGAAACUUCUGGAGUCCCAAACCCAAAGAAUUGGCAGCCAUCAUUAUGUGCCCUUCAGCUGUCCCAAGGAACAAUUGUCUGUCAGUACUAUCUGCCAACAGGAAUCUGCCCCAUGAGGAGCUGAAGGCUGCUGUGGGAUGCACGUAGCACACACUCAGCUGCCAGCAGCACCAUCAGAACUUGGGGAAUCUCCGCUGCAAUACAACCAGAUGCAAAAGGUUGCUGUGCACGGGGCUGCACUGUGCGUGCACUGCGAGAGCCACCAACAGCAUUACGUUGCACUGAUCACUUGAGGCCCAAUUUAGUGAAAUGAGUAAGCAUUUGCAAAAAAAAAAAAAUCUUUUUUAAAGUUGAUGGCACAUUGUGUGCUCCUUCAGGAUUCAUUUCUGGCAGUAAAUUAAGCAUGUAUUUAACAUCAAGGAGUUAAGCCUUUAUCUCCAGCCUUACAAUUCUCCUUUGCUACGCCACACAAAAGCAACUUUUCCCCCAGUUUUAUCUUCAAAGUUUGGAAACGUAUUUAGCUCUACAUUACAAUGAUUCUAUUCAUAUUUCAUGAAUUUUUAAGUUCAGACUGUGAGCAUGGACAGCUCAUCACUGACACAUCAGUGAAAUGCUGUGAAAAACAAGCAACAUAUUGUGCUUUUAGCUUAUGAGAUUGCUUUAUGGUUCCCUCAAGGAUAUUAAAAAGAGAUCUUCGCAAGGAUUAUCAAUAAGUAUCUUUCAGGAUCAGCACUUCUGAAGUUUCCAGAACGGCUUCAAAUCUUGACUGAGUUUGGAAAUGAAAGAACCCACUAAGAAACAGCAAAAUCAUAUUUUAAAGCUCAAAUAUUCUUCAGUUUUGCUGCUUUGCAUUUCAGACUCUGGUUAUCACUGUGAAUGCUAAUUCCUACAUCGUUUUCUUAUUGAAGCUAGUUUUAAGUUUCAACUUCUUUAUCAAAAACAGAUAGGGAAAAGAGAAACUUCACUGCAAUUUUGACAAAGCAUUAAAAAAACAUUUUUAAUAAGUGAUUUAAAUACUGGCUUUUUGGAUGAUCAGAAAAGAAUCCCCGUUAGCUUUGCUAUAUUAAACAAGAUACCUUCAUAGCCCAUAUUAUUACAGCACCUAAUCAUCUCACAGCCCUUCAGAAUAUUUCAUUUGAGCUAGGAAAUACUGUUACUUCAUGUUACAUGUACAAACAAAAAGGUACCUAAAGACCUUUGGAAAAGGGGCUCUACAUUCCCAAGGAAAUUAAGAGGCAAUAAAUCAACCCUGCCAGGAUCAAACCAAUAGCCUUUAGAACCAGAGCUCUGUUUCACAUCAGCAUGAAAUCAAUGAUAUGAAGUUCAUGUCCCCUUGGUAGGACAUGGGGAAAUGGAACAUUAAGACUGGAAAUAAGGAAAAAAGUUUACGGUAAGGGGGUGGAGGCACUGGCACAGGUUGCCCAGAGAAGCAGCGGUGCGCCAUCCCUGCAGACAGCCAAGGUCAGGCUGGAGGGGCUCUGAGCACUGAUGGAGCUGUGGGUGUCCCUGUGCACUGCAGGGAGUGGGACCUGAUGGCAUUUAAGGGUCCCUUCCAACUCAAACCGUUCUAUGAUUGUGUGAUAAGUUCAAGGGUAACCUACAGCCGAUAGCCCCUCCUUCAGCAGUGGAGUACCUCCCUGACAAGGAAAAGAAGGGAAAUCGACAAAUCUCACUAAGCACAAUUUGCAGAGUACCACUGUUCCUAUCAACACUGGAGCAUCCUUUUAUUUGACUGUCAGAAGCAUCUCAGAGCAUGAAAAAAAGAAGUCCGUCUGCUUGGAUACAAACAAACCUUCCAAGGUUCAGUUUUUCUCCCUAAAAGCUCAACUGUGAGUUUUACCUCAAUAGAAGACCUCCUAGAAAUGGAGCAUCCCUGCCCUGCUGCACACUGAUCCUGGCCCUGCGGACUCUCUAGAUGCUGCAGCUCAUGCUUAAGGUCAACUAACCAUCCUAUCCCUUACAUUAAGUCCUCAGUUCUGGAUAAAGGGGAAGACCCAAAGAUUUUUGGAAGCUACAGACUGCUGGGGUGCAACUUGUGGCUCCCCAGGCUCAAGCAGGGUGCAGAUGCAGGUGUGCUGAAGAAGCAUCACUCAAAACUCAG